rnacentral:rRNA from 1 species
GUCUCCAGCCACACCCCCCUGACCUACUCAAUCUCUUCUGAUCUCAGAAGGUAAGCAGAGUUAGGCCUGGUGAGUACUUGGAUGGGAGAAAGAACUCUAUGAUCUAAAGAAG